UGUACAGCCACGCCUAAAAACUAUAUUGCAUUUUUUGUGACCUACCUAAAUUUAAUUAUUUUAGGUUUUUCUCUUCAUCGGGAUGGGGCGCACCUGAUUUUUGGAUUAGAUGACAUAUAAACAACAAUUUGGCCCCCACGUCUGGAAAUUUCCUUGUUGGUCGGCCCUUCCUUAAAUUUCAUUCCCGGCUAGGCCGUUUGCUGUCUCCUCCUUUCGCUCACUUCAAUCCUCUCUCUCUAUACAGAUCCCAUCCCAAGAACAGAAGAUCGACGGAACCGAUUUCUUGAGCAAACAGAAGCAAAAUCAUUCGCGUUUUUGGGAAUUGCAGAAAAGUCGAACCGAGAACUGAGUCAUUUGGAUGGAGGAAUCGUUUGGAAGGAUUCAAGAGAAGAAAACGUUACGGUCAGGCAAUCAAGGUAAACUGGGCAUAUGCCAGUGGCCAGAGGGAGGUUACUUCAGGCCACUUCAACAUCUUUGUUGGCGACCUAAGUCCUGAAGUCACUGAUGCGACUCUGUUUGCAUGCUUUGCAGUGUAUUCCAGCUGUUCAGAUGCACGGGUUAUGUGGGAUCAUAAAACUUGGCGCUCAAGAGGAUUUGGCUUUGUUUCUUUCCGUAAUCAGCAGAUGGAGGUCAAGAGAAUGUAAGUGACGAGGCCCCUGAAAACAACCCUGCAUUUACAACCGUCUCAUGUUGUUAAUCUUGCAUACAAGGUAAAAUAGAAGAACUGAGACAUUGUGUUGGCUGCAUGGUUUGUACAAUUGAGAGAAAAAAAAAUGUCCCUUAAAUUGACGGCCAUGCUUUGCAGCAUGUUUAUUUUUAUCAUCUGUGCUGACAUUUCCUGUUUUUCCUGUUUCAAUGGCCAAUUCGUCAGGCGAUUCAAACUGAACUCCAUCGCCAGUUUCAUUCUCUUGGGGCUGGUGUCAUUGAAGAAGUGCGUGUAUAGAGAGAUUAAGGUUUUGGAUUUGUAAGGAUUUCUUGGCUGGAAGUUCUUCUCGAUGCCUUUGCAAGGGAAGAUGAGGCUUGCACGUAGUAAGGAACACAGGCUAUACAGCCUUGUAUUCUGAGACCCUUGAUCCUUCAAUACAAUCUAAAGGGGAUUUGAAAGAGAGUUUCUACAUUGGUCCCAUGGAAGGUGGUAACUUGAAUCAGUGGCCUUCUGCAGGCGGAAAGGAAAUGAAACGCUUUUCAAAGGUUGAUACAUACAUCAGUGCUUAAGCAACACUACGAGAAGAAAUUACUUGAGUUGGAGCAGGAAAAGAAAGUUUUGCUGGUUGCUUGCUAUCUAGUUACAAGGAUCCUGUAGCUAAGCAACAAACAUCCAAAAUGUGGGCCAUUAUAUCAAUGCAUGGAUUUGUAGGCCCCAGUUUUACAAAUGGAAAAUCUAUAUGGUACUGUACACAAUUUCCGACCUAUAAUUCUAUUCUUCCUCAAUAUAUUUUCUCGAGGAACCAUACAUAUCAUCAUUA